GAUGAACGCUGGCGGCGUGCUUAACACAUGCAAGUCGAACGAAGCACUUAUCUUUGAUUCUUCGGAUGAAGAGGUUUGUGACUGAGUGGCGGACGGGUGAGUAACGCGUGGGUAACCUGCCUCAUACAGGGGGAUAACAGUUAGAAAUGACUGCUAAUACCGCAUAAGACCACAGAGCCGCAUGGCUCAGUGGGAAAAACUCCGGUGGUAUGAGAUGGACCCGCGUCUGAUUAGGUAGUUGGUGGGGUAACGGCCUACCAAGCCAACGAUCAGUAGCCGACCUGAGAGGGUGACCGGCCACAUUGGGACUGAGACACGGCCCAAACUCCUACGGGAGGCAGCAGUGGGGAAUAUUGCACAAUGGGGGAAACCCUGAUGCAGCGACGCCGCGUGAGCGAAGAAGUAUUUCGGUAUGUAAAGCUCUAUCAGCAGGGAAGAAAAUGACGGUACCUGACUAAGAAGCACCGGCUAAAUACGUGCCAGCAGCCGCAGUAAGAC
rnacentral:rRNA from 1 species